UACGAAGGGGGCUAGCGUUGUUCGGAUUUACUGGGCGUAAAGCGCACGUAGGCGGAUCGUUAAGUCGGGGGUGAAAUCCUGGAGCUCAACUCCAGAACUGCCUUCGAUACUGGCGAUCUUGAGUCCGGAAGAGGUGAGUGGAAUUCCGAGUGUAGAGGUGAAAUUCGUAGAUAUUCGGAGGAACACCAGUGGCGAAGGCGGCUCACUGGUCCGGUACUGACGCUGAGGUGCGAAAGCGUGGGGAGCAA
rnacentral:rRNA from 1 species